rnacentral:rRNA from 1 species
UCCCAGACUCCUACGGGAGGCAGCAGUGAGGAAUAUUGGUCAAUGGGCGCAAGCCUGACCCAGCAACGCCGCGUGAAGGAAGAAGGCUUUCGGGUUGUAAACUUCUUUUGACAGGGAAGAGCAGAAGACGGUACCUGUCGAAUAAGCCACGGCUAACUACGUGCCAGCAGCCGCGGUAAUACGUAGGUGGCAAGCGUUAUCCGGAUUUAUUGGGUGUAAAGGGCGUGUAGGCGGGAAUGCAAGUCAGAUGUGAAAACUCAGGGCUCAACCCUGAGCCUGCAUUUGAAACUGUAUUUCUUGAGUGCUGGAGAGGCAAUCGGAAUUCCGUGUGUAGCGGUGAAAUGCGUAGAUAUACGGGGGAACACCAGUGGCGAAGGCGGAUUGCUGGACAGUAACUGACGCUGAGGCGCGAAAGCGUGGGGAGCAAACAGGAUUAGAUACCCGGGUAA